GAUGAAGAACGUAGCGAAAUGCGAUAAGUAAUGUGAAUUGCAGAAUUCAGUGAAUCAUCGAAUCUUUGAACGCACAUUGCGCCCCUUGGUAUUCCGAGGGGCAUGCCUGUUCGAGCGUCAUUAUAACCCCUCAAGCUCAGCUUGGUGUUGGGGCCUGCCGCACGGGCAGCCCUUAAAAUCAGUGGCGGUGCCAUCUGGCUCUAAGCGUAGUAAUUCUUCUCGCUAUAGAGUCACGGUGGAUGCUUGCCAUUAACCCCCAAUUUUCAAUGGUUGACCUCGGAUCAGGUAGGGAUACCCGCUGAACUUAAGCAUAUCAAUAAGCGGAGGA
rnacentral:misc_RNA from 1 species